GACAGAGGGUGCAAACGUUGCUCGGAAUCACUGGGCGUAAAGGGCGUGUAGGCGGGAAGGAAAGUCAGAUGUGAAAUCCCUGGGCUCAACCCAGGAACUGCAUUUGAAACUCCCUUUCUUGAGUGUCGGAGAGGAAAGUGGAACUCCUGGUGUAGCGGUGAAAUGCGUAGAUAUCUGGAGGAACACCGGUGGCGAAGGCGGCAUCCUGGGCCGGUAUUGACGCUGAGGAGCGAAAGCCAGGGGAGCAAACGGG
rnacentral:rRNA from 1 species